UGGGUUGGCCGGGCGAUCGCGUCGGUGCGGCUUGCGGACAGUGUUCCGGAGGCCGCCCGCCGAGGAAAGUCCGGGCUCCACAGAGCAGAGUGGUGGGUAACGCCCACUCGGGGUAACCCGCAGGCCAGUGCCACAGAAAACAGACCGCCAGGAUUGCCCCCGGGCAGGACCUGGUAAGGGUGAAACGGCGGUGUAAGAGACCACCAGCGCCCCGGGUGACCGGGUCGGCUAGGUAAACCCCACUCGGAGCAAGGCCAGACAGGGCACGAUCGAGGGCUGCUCGCCCGAGUGCCCGGGUAGGCCGCUUGAGGACACCGGCAACGGUGUUCCUAGAUGGAUGAUCGCCACCCGGCGGCGGGCAACCGCCGCAGGUGACAGAACCCGGCUCACAGGCCAGCCCAUCCC
rnacentral:RNase_P_RNA from 1 species